AACGCGAAGAACCUUACCUGGUCUUGACACCCACGGAAGUUUUCAGAGAUGAGAAUGUGCCUUCGGGAACCGUGAGACAGGUGCUGCAUGGCUGUCGUCAGCUCGUGUUGUGAAAUGUUGGGUUAAGUCCCGCAACGAGCGCAACCCUUAUCCUUUGUUGCCAGCGGUCCGGCCGGGAAUUCAAAGGAGACUGCCAGUGAUAAACUGGAGGAAGGUGGGGAUGACGUCAAGUCAUCAUGGCCCUUACGACCAGGGCUACACACGUGCUGCAAUGGCGCAUACAAAGAGAAGCGACCUCGCGAGAGCAAGCGGACCUCGUAAAGUGCGUCGUAGUCCGGAUUGGAGUCUGCAACUCGACUCCAUGAAGUCGGAAUCGCUAGUAAUCGUGGAUCAGAAUGCCACGGUGAAUACGUUCCCGGGUCUUGUACACACGC
rnacentral:rRNA from 1 species